GGGGAAUCUUCUACCAUUCACAAUGGGACAAAGAGAGCCGAUAUUCUUCUCUCAACUCCUGAGUCUGGUGGAGCUCAGGUGAUGUCAAGAGUUGACUCCUCCUGUGGCAUCCUGUGAUAAAAUAAUUUCUCAACUUUAACGUGAUAAUCAAUGACAAGAUUCAUUUGUGAUAAGGAAACUAAGCUCCCAAUGGGUGAAGUGUGCCAAGCCCACAACAGGUUAGUGGGGAGACAGGCACCAGAACCCGAGGAUUCUGAUUUCUAAGGCCCAUGUCUUAAUUCAACAAUGUUGCAUUUUGCAGCCUAGUCUCUUCCUUCGGAUUUGCACUGAUGCUCCAGUACUCAAGCAAGCAGAAGGAAUGGAGACUUCGCUCUGCUAGUGAUGAGCGUCAGCAGCAGCAGCAAGAUCAAGUUUCAAGGAGCAUCUGUGACAGUGGUCCAGGAAUGACAUCAAGUGUCCAAGGUGCUGUCAGUGCCAGAGAAAUCCCCUAUGCAGUGUGGAUGUAGAAGUAACAUCACCAAAGAAUAGAGUACUGUUGAAAAUAGCCUUACCUGAGGAUGAAGGUGGUUUCCCAAGGAGAUGAUAAAUAUAAAUGAGAAAUAAAACACUAUUAAAGCAAAUGGCUGGAUGUUUACGAAAUGCAUUCAUCAAAUAAAUAUGCAUUUCCUGUCA